GAGGGUAGAGCUCAGUGGUAGAGCACGUGCUCACCAUGCACAAGGUCCUGGGUUCAAUUCCCAGUACCUCCA
rnacentral:tRNA from 1 species